AUACAUGCCUGUCACGCAUGGGGUCACGGGUUCGAGUCCCGUACGCACCG
rfam:Parabacteroides sp. CAG:409 genomic scaffold, scf14